rnacentral:rRNA from 1 species
UGUAAACGACUGCUAAUACCGCAUAAUGUCUACGGACCAAAGGGGGCUUCGGCUCUCGCCUUUAGAUUGGCCCAAGUGGGAUUAGCUAGUUGGUGAGGUAAUGGCUCACCAAGGCGACGAUCCCUAGCUGGUUUGAGAGGAUGAUCAGCCACACUGGGACUGAGACACGGCCCAGACUCCUACGGGAGGCAGCAGUGGGGAAUAUUGCACAAUGGGCGCAAGCCUGAUGCAGCCAUGCCGCGUGUGUGAAGAAGGCCUUCGGGUUGUAAAGCACUUUCAGUCAGGAGGAAAGGUUAGUAGUUAAUACCUGCUAGCUGUGACGUUACUGACAGAAGAAGCACCGGCUAACUCCGUGCCAGCAGCCGCGGUAAUACGGAGGGUGCGAGCGUUAAUCGGAAUUACUGGGCGUAAAGCGUACGCAGGCGGUUUGUUAAGCGAGAUGUG